GAGGGUAUAGUCCAGUGGUAGAAUGCAUGCUUAGCAUGCACAAGGUUGUGGGUUCAAUCCCUAGUACCUUCA
rnacentral:tRNA from 1 species